rnacentral:rRNA from 1 species
AACGAACGCUGGCGGCAGGCCUAACACAUGCAAGUCGAACGCUCCAGCAAUGGAGAGUGGCAGACGGGUGAGUAACACGUGGGAACCUUCCCCAUGGUUCGGAAUAGCCCAGGGAAACUUGGGGUAAUACCGGAUAAGCCCUCUGGGGGAAAGAUUUAUCGCCAUUGGAUGGGCCCGCGUCGGAUUAGCUAGUUGGUGGGGUAACGGCCUACCAAGGCGACGAUCCGUAGCUGGUCUGAGAGGAUGAUCAGCCACACUGGGACUGAGAAACGGCCCAGACUCCUACGGGAGGCAGCAGUGGGGAAUAUUGGACAAUGGGCGCAAGCCUGAUCCAGCCAUGCCGCGUGAGUGACGAAGGUCUUCGGAUUGUAAAGCUCUUUUGGCGGGGACGAUAAUGACGGUACCCGCAGAAUAAGCCCCGGCUAACUUCGUGCCAGCCGCCGCCGUAAGAC